GUCGCUGAGGAAGCGCUGAGGCUGACGCUGUGUCUCCAGGCCCGUCCUCGUCCCUGCCAACUUUGGGGGCUCUGACUGUAACUCAUGACUCGGGUGCCCAUCAUCAACAGGUGGUUUCUGCUUUUCCCUCGAGCUUACCUUGAGGACCUGCACUUCAAGCUACAGAUCGGAAGUGGAAUCUUUCAACAGGAAAUACGCAAGGACCCUCCAAGGAC
rnacentral:lncRNA from 1 species